rnacentral:rRNA from 1 species
UCCAAGGCUAAAUACUCCUGACUGACCGAUAGUGAACCAGUACCGUGAGGGAAAGGCGAAAAGAACCCCGGCGAGGGGAGUGAAAAAGAACCUGAAACCGUGUACGUACAAGCAGUGGGAGCCUCUUAAUGGGGUGACUGCGUACCUUUUGUAUAAUGGGUCAGCGACUUAUAUUCUGUAGCAAGGUUAACCGAAUAGGGGAGCCGAAGGGAAACCGAGUCUUAACUGGGCGUUAAGUUGCAGGGUAUAGACCCGAAACCCGGUGAUCUAGCCAUGGGCAGGUUGAAGGUUGGGUAACACUAACUGGAGGACCGAACCGACUAAUGUUGAAAAAUUAGCGGAUGACUUGUGGCUGGGGGUGAAAGGCCAAUCAAACCGGGAGAUAGCUGGUUCUCCCCGAAAGCUAUUUAGGUAGCGCCUCGUGAAUUCAUCUCCGGGGGUAGAGCACUGUUUCGGCAAGGGGGUCAUCCCGACUUACCAACCCGAUGCAAACUGCGAAUACCGGAGAAUGUUAUCACGGGAGACACACGGCGGGUGCUAACGUCCGUCGUGAAGAGGGAAACAACCCAGACCGCCAGCUAAGGUCCCAAAGUCAUGGUUAAGUGGGAAACGAUGUGGGAAGGCCCAGACAGCCAGGAUGUUGGCUUAGAAGCAGCCAUCAUUUAAAGAAAGCGUAAUAGCUCACUGGUCGAGUCGGCCUGCGCGGAAGAUGUAACGGGGCUAAACCAUGCACCGAAGCUGCGGCAGCGACACUAUGUGUUGUUGGGUAGGGGAGCGUUCUGUAAGCCUGUGAAGGUGGCCUGUGAGGGUUGCUGGAGGUAUCAGAAGUGCGAAUGCUGACAUAAGUAACGAUAAAGCGGGUGAAAAGCCCGCUCGCCGGAAGACCAAGGGUUCCUGUCCAACGUUAAUCGGGGCAGGGUGAGUCGACCCCUAAGGCGAGGCCGAAAGGCGUAGUCGAUGGGAAACAGGUUAAUAUUCCUGUACUUGGUGUUACUGCGAAGGGGGGACGGAGAAGGCUAUGUUGGCCGGGCGACGGUUGUCCCGGUUUAAGCGUGUAGGCUGGUUUUCCAGGCAAAUCCGGAAAACCAAGGCUGAGGCGUGAUGACGAGGCACUACGGUGCUGAAGCGACAAAUGCCCUGCUUCCAGGAAAAGCCUCUAAGCAUCAGGUAACAUCAAAUCGUACCCAAAACCGACACAGGUGGUCAGGUAGAGAAUACCAAGGCGCUUGAGAGAACUCGGGUGAAGGAACUAGGCAAAAUGGUGCCGUAACUUCGGGAGAAGGCACGCUGAUAUGUAGGUGAAGCGACUUGCUCGUGGAGCUGAAAUCAGUCGAAGAUACCAGCUGGCUGCAACUGUUUAUUAAAAACACAGCACUGUGCAAACACGAAAGUGGACGUAUACGGUGUGACGCCUGCCCGGUGCCGGAAG